rnacentral:rRNA from 1 species
AUUGAACGCUGGCGGCAGGCCUAACACAUGCAAGUCGAGCGGGGUUUUCGGACCUAGCGGCGGACGGGUGAGUAAUGCGUAGGAAGCUACCCGAUAGAGGGGGAUACCAGUUGGAAACGACUGUUAAUACCGCAUAAUGUCUACGGACCAAAGUGUGGGACCUUCGGGCCACAUGCUAUCGGAUGCGCCUACGUGGGAUUAGCUAGUUGGUGAGGUAAUGGCUCACCAAGGCGACGAUCCCUAGCUGGGUUGAGAGGAUGAUCAGCCACACUGGAACUGAGACACAGUCCAGACUCCUACGGGAGGCAGCAGUGGGGAAUAUUGGACAAUGGGCGCAAGCCUGAUCCAGCCAUGCCGCGUGUGUGAGGAAGGCCUUCGGGUUGUAAAGCACUUUCAGUAGGGAGGAAGCGUUGUGUGUUAAUAGUACACAGCGUUGACGUUACCUACAGAAGGAGCACCGGCUAACUCUGUGCCAGCCGCCGCCGUAAUAC